rnacentral:rRNA from 1 species
GGUUAAGCGACUAAGCGUACACGGUGGAUGCCCUGGCAGUCAGAGGCGAUGAAGGACGUGCUAAUCUGCGAUAAGCGCCGGUAAGGUGAUAUGAACCGUUAUAACCGGCGAUUUCCGAAUGGGGAAACCCAGUGUGAUUCGUCACACUAUCAUUAACUGAAUCCAUAGGUUAAUGAGGCGAACCGGGGGAACUGAAACAUCUAAGUACCCCGAGGAAAAGAAAUCAACCGAGAUUCCCCCAGUAGCGGCGAGCGAACGGGGAGGAGCCCAGAGCCUGAAUCAGCAUGUGUGUUAGUGGAAGCGUCUGGAAAGGCGCGCGAUACAGGGUGACAGCCCCGUACACAAAAGCGCAUGUGCUGUGAGCUCGAUGAGUAGGGCGGGACACGUGGUAUCCUGUCUGAAUAUGGGGGGACCAUCCUCCAAGGCUAAAUACUCCUGACUGACCGAUAGUGAACCAGUACCGUGAGGGAAAGGCGAAAAGAACCCCGGCGAGGGGAGUGAAAAAGAACCUGAAACCGUGUACGUACAAGCAGUGGGAGCACCCUUCGGGGUGUGACUGCGUACCUUUUGUAUAAUGGGUCAGCGACUUAUAUUCUGUAGCAAGGUUAACCGUAUAGGGGAGCCGGAGGGAAACCGAGUCUUAACCGGGCGUUAAGUUGCAGGGUAUAGACCCGAAACCCGGUGAUCUAGCCAUGGGCAGGUUGAAGGUUGGGUAACACUAACUGGAGGACCGAACCGACUAAUGUUGAAAAAUUAGCGGAUGACCUGUGGCUGGGGGUGAAAGGCCAAUCAAACCGGGAGAUAGCUGGUUCUCCCCGAAAGCUAUUUAGGUAGCGCCUCGUGAAUUCAUCUCCGGGGGUAGAGCACUGUUUCGGCUAGGGGGCCAUCCCGGCUUACCAACCCGAUGCAAACUGCGAAUACCGGAGAAUGUUAUCACGGGAGACACACGGCGGGUGCUAACGUCCGUCGUGAAGAGGGAAACAACCCAGACCGCCAGCUAAGGUCCCAAAGUCAUGGUUAAGUGGGAAACGAUGUGGGAAGGCCCAGACAGCCAGGAUGUUGGCUUAGAAGCAGCCAUCAUUUAAAGAAAGCGUAAUAGCUCACUGGUCGAGUCGGCCUGCGCGGAAGAUGUAACGGGGCUAAACCAUGCACCGAAGCUGCGGCAGCGAACGUAUCACUUAAAGCGAUUCAGCGGGUUACGAUUGACGGAGCGAAGCGACGUCAAAGCGUAUACAAAGUCGAGUCGGUUUAAGGAUACGUUCGUUGGGUAGGGGAGCGUUCUGUAAGCCCGUGAAGGUGGCCUGUGAGGGUUGCUGGAGGUAUCAGAAGUGCGAAUGCUGACAUAAGUAACGAUAAAGCGGGUGAAAAGCCCGCUCGCCGGAAGACCAAGGGUUCCUGUCCAACGUUAAUCGGGGCAGGGUGAGUCGACCCCUAAGGCGAGGCCGAAAGGCGUAGUCGAUGGGAAACGGGUUAAUAUUCCCGUACUUGGUGUUACUGCGAAGGGGGGACGGAGAAGGCUAUGUUGGCCGGGCGACGGUUGUCCCGGUUUAAGCGUGUAGGUGUGUGUUCCAGGUAAAUCCGGUUCACUUUAACACUGAGGCGUGACGACGAGGCACUACGGUGCUGAAGCAACAAAUGCCCUGCUUCCAGGAAAAGCCUCUAAGCAUCAGGUAACACGAAAUCGUACCCCAAACCGACACAGGUGGUCAGGUAGAGAAUACCAAGGCGCUUGAGAGAACUCGGGUGAAGGAACUAGGCAAAAUGGUGCCGUAACUUCGGGAGAAGGCACGCUGACACGUAGGUGAAGUGAUUUACUCAUGGAGCUGAAGUCAGUCGAAGAUACCAGCUGGCUGCAACUGUUUAUUAAAAACACAGCACUGUGCAAACACGAAAGUGGACGUAUACGGUGUGACGCCUGCCCGGUGCCGGAAGGUUAAUUGAUGGGGUCAGCGCAAGCGAAGCUCCUGAUCGAAGCCCCGGUAAACGGCGGCCGUAACUAUAACGGUCCUAAGGUAGCGAAAUUCCUUGUCGGGUAAGUUCCGACCUGCACGAAUGGCGUAAUGAUGGCCAGGCUGUCUCCACCCGAGACUCAGUGAAAUUGAACUCGCUGUGAAGAUGCAGUGUACCCGCGGCAAGACGGAAAGACCCCGUGAACCUUUACUAUAGCUUGACACUGAACAUUGAGCCUUGAUGUGUAGGAUAGGUGGGAGGCUUUGAAGUGUGGACGCCAGUCUGCAUGGAGCCGACCUUGAAAUACCACCCUUUAAUGUUUGAUGUUCUAACGUGGACCCGUAAUCCGGGUUGCGGACAGUGUCUGGUGGGUAGUUUGACUGGGGCGGUCUCCUCCUAAAGAGUAACGGAGGAGCACGAAGGUUGGCUAAUCCUGGUCGGACAUCAGGAGGUUAGUGCAAUGGCAUAAGCCAGCUUGACUGCGAGCGUGACGGCGCGAGCAGGUGCGAAAGCAGGUCAUAGUGAUCCGGUGGUUCUGAAUGGAAGGGCCAUCGCUCAACGGAUAAAAGGUACUCCGGGGAUAACAGGCUGAUACCGCCCAAGAGUUCAUAUCGACGGCGGUGUUUGGCACCUCGAUGUCGGCUCAUCACAUCCUGGGGCUGAAGUAGGUCCCAAGGGUAUGGCUGUUCGCCAUUUAAAGUGGUACGCGAGCUGGGUUUAGAACGUCGUGAGACAGUUCGGUCCCUAUCUGCCGUGGGCGCUGGAGAACUGAGGGGGGCUGCUCCUAGUACGAGAGGACCGGAGUGGACGCAUCACUGGUGUUCGGGUUGUCAUGCCAAUGGCACUGCCCGGUAGCUAAAUGCGGAAGAGAUAAGUGCUGAAAGCAUCUAAGCACGAAACUUGCCCCGAGAUGAGUUCUCCCUGAGACUUAGAGUCUCCUGAAGGAACGUUGAAGACGACGACGUUGAUAGGCCGGGUGUGUAAGCGCAGCGAUGCGUUGAGCUAACCGGUACUAAUGAACCGUGAGGCUUAACCUU